CGGAGGGGGUCCCCGGGGCGGGGCGCCGGGCGGGGGGCGGAGCUGCCGUGCGGGCGCCGGACCCCAGGCUCCAGGGUGUCCCCCAGGCCCGGGCGGGACCCGGCCCGGCGCUUCCUCCUCCCGCCGCUGCUCUUCCUCCUCCUCCUCCUCCUCCUCCUCCUGCUCCCCGGGCCGCGGCCCCUCCCCCUCCCGCGCUCCCUCCUCCCCGCGCUCCUCCCGCCGCCUCCUCCUUUCUCUCCCGAUCUGUCUCGGGGCCCGGGAAUCCACCCGGCCUGCGCGCCGGAGCGGCCCGGCCGCCGUCUGCUGCCCCCGGCCCAGGUGAGCGCCCCCCGCCCAGAACACAGAGGCUCAGGGAAGUGAAGUGACGUUCCCAGCUAUGAGAGGGCGAAGCAGGAUUUGAAGCCAGCCCGCAGACCUCGGCUCCGUCCCUGCCUGGCCGAUGAGGACACCGCGGGCCAGCCAAGUGAAGUGACGCACCCGCCGCCGCCCCCCGCUGGCCCAGGGCCAGCAGAGUCG